UAAUCUAGUUAGGAAUUUCUCGUUCCAGCACGAGCACUUAGCACAACUCACUCUCAAAUUCCUAAUUGGGGAUUUACUUUAUUUUUGAGCUGCAGCUUUGUCCAAUUGUUCUGUAAACUAGUUGAUUCAAUUGAGUGUAAGAGAGUUAUCAGUGGUGCUAGAAUUUGGAAAUUGGACCGAGCAUGGGGAAAAAAGGUACCAUUGCAUCGUACUUCAAAAGAUAAGGCUAACCCUUGGAAACAGCCGCAACUUGCCGAUGCAAGAUAACAGGCGCUGCCUGGCCCUGGCUGCUCACAUUUCUUUGCUUUUCUGCCCUGGUGCUCUCCAUAAUUCGCCUCUCUUAUGGUUACAAAAGUGGCGUCCUGCAUGAUUAUUUGUUUCCCCUAGAACAUUGUAGAAGUUUGUUUUUUUACAGGAGUACAACACUGAGACCCACCGAGUUAUUGUGGAGCUGAUUGUUCCUUUUGACUUCUCACCUAUAAGGAGGCUAGCUACGAAAAUGUUCUAAGGUUUCAUUCUGAAGAAUGUUCCAAGGAAGGCAAGAGGCUGAUUCAUAUUCCUCCUAAGAAAAUAAAAUUUUGCUCUAUGUAUUGCUGGUUCCAGUUCAUCGUCAGUUCUACGGUAUCUUGUGUAUGGUUACCAUCAGUGAUUAUCAGAUCAUAACCUUAUUGGGCUCCUGGUAUUUCUACCAUGAUGGAUAAAUCACUGCAGUGAUAAACUGUACAAAGGGAAAGCGGCUUCAAAAAUAUUUAGGUCAGUCCAAAGUACCCACUUUAAUGAAUCUUUUCUCAAGGCUGUAUUUGACGUUAUAGCUGCAGUCCUCUUUCAUCUUGCCAUUGUCGAAGAAUUUUAUCAAUCAAGUUGCUUAAAAAAUUAUACUCUGUUUCUGAAAUUAACACGGGUACAAUUCUUGUAUAGAAUGUUGCUUACUAGUUUUAUUGUUUUGGACUGUUAGUCAAUCGAAUCCUUACAAGAAGGAUUGGGCAGGUGAGGUCACUUCUUCUACUUAGGUGCUCUCACACAUGGAGAAGCUAUCUCAACCCCAAGCAUUGUGUUUAACUCAGUUUGCCCGUUAUAACUUUGAAUAUGCUUAUUUUACUUGCCGACCUAUUUCGAGUUGGCUGGAGUUAAACAAAAUUUAAGUGCUACACCUUUUUAGCUCUCUUAUUAUAAUCCUUUUGUGCAUAUAUAAUAGAUUUAAAGUACACAGGUUAGUUAAGGCAUCAUAGUUAAUUUCUACCUAGCUCAAAUGCUGGCUUGCUACGACUUAUUUCUUGCUCGCUACUAUCAUUUAUCUGUUGCAAUGAGAGUUAACCAAUUAUAACAUUAAGUAGUAUAUUAUUUUAAAAUUUUACUUACCCCUAUUCUGUACCUUCAUAUUUGGAAAUAUUCGUAUGAUUAUGUCAAACAGGACGUGCGCGGCAAUGAGCACCAUCAUGAUCUAGUUAGAUGAGAAAACACUAGUCACGCGAAUCUGGAGAACAUUAAGAUACCAGAUAAUUGAAACAAACUGUAUGAUAGCACCGAUCAAUUAAUGAUAAAUAUUUUUCUGAAUGGGAGUGAAACUUGUGCCAGUAGUUUUUUCUCUCAUUUACAUACUACUUCGAAUCCGUUUUAAUCGACGCGGCUAUCAACUAAUACAUCUCUGGCCCCAUCUUCACAGGCAAAUGCCAAUUUAAGGCAAUCUUAGGGAGUAUAUUUUUAUCAUCUUCGUGUGGGCCUUAUGCUGGUAUUUUUCUGUCUUGGAAGAGGAGAAGAAAUAGCGUUCUGUAUUACAAUAUUUAUUUACAAGGAUAAUGUCUAUUUCGUGUUAAAUGUCGCACUACUUCUGUCUUUACUAGUCUCUACACUAACUAGGUCAGUAUUUGGCUGUGUUAUUGAGCUUAAAACUCCAAUAGCCCCAUGUUAAAACAUUUUUUUGUAUUGUGUGUUACAUAUUAUUUUACUACUAUAAUAAGUUAGCUUUCAGCUAUACGACUUCAGGAUAUACACCUUACUUCACUGGAUGAUACACGGAAUGAAGAUAUUUUGUCUGUUAGACUAUAGUUGGAAAAAAUUGAGCAACACAUGAAAAACCAAGAUGCUAAAAUUCUAGAGUUAAAUGAGAAGUUGUUGAACUGUGAAAGAUAGGUAAAUUUAAGAAACUUUGCCAUUGUUCAAUACAUGUACUAAUUUUUUUAUUGGUCAUUGUGUUCUGGGUCAGAUAUCUACAUCCCGAGAUGCUCUUGGUAUUGCCCAGACAAACUCAAAAAGGAAAAGAGUAUAUGGUGAUCUUUGUAGUCAACAACUUGGAACUAUUGGAAAGGAGAAUAAACAUCCUGCUACACAUAAGGUUUGCACAUUUAUAUCAUUAUAGUUUUUGCCAAUCUUACAAUAUAUGUACUGUCAUAGAACAAAGAAACUUUGGUCCAAGAUGAAAAUGUGCAACCUGGACAAGGAAGUGCUAUUGCAGAAAAGCAUGGUGGCAAGAACAGUGGAAGGUGUUAGAAUUGGAAAUCAAUUCGGGACAGUGCGUCGUUGAUGCUACAUUACAAAAAUCCGAUGAGUUGAUACGACCGCUCAAAAAGGUCAAGAUUAUUGGUCAUGCAGCAGGAUUAACAAUCGCAUGGCCUUCAACCUCUAUUUUGAAGAUAAAUUGGUGAUGCUUGGUUGAGAUGUUGAUUGCAAGAUGAAGACUGAUGCUACUACUGGAUAGCUUACAUUACUUUUCGUAUGUAAUUUUAAUCGCCAAUGUUGGGAAGAGAACAUUAU